GACGCAAAAUGCAUAUAAUUUGGGGAUACAUAUAAUUCUAUCUUGAAGAAUCUCCAAAAACCCUAGUUAAAUUGCAAAGAAACUUCUUGAGAAAUAUGCCGGACAUUUAAUGGAAUUUCACUGUUUUCAAAACCAUGAAAAAGGUAAAAUCUAACCCCCCUUCUCUUAAGCACAGAAUCACCAGCUUUUCUCAGUCCCACCAAGGAGCUCAGCUCCUCUGGAGGUGGCACCAGGUAAAGGCUCUGGAGGAGCAAAGGAUGGCUCCACAAUGGUGCCACCUGCCCCAAGAAGGAAGGCUCCCCACCAGCCAUCCACGUCACUGCUGGCAGAUGAUUCUGACCACAGCUUACAGAAGGAGUCCCCAUUCUGGGGCUAUAGCUGGCUCAGGGUUCACAUGUUUUCUCUACACCUUACUCAUGGGCCCUCAGCAUGACCUACCCUUGGAUUACUGGUACUUCAAAUGGCUUGAGUGGCUUUUGAAAAUGAGUAAUAACCAGCUGUAGCUUUUUGCCAAUACUGUAGUAAUUUAGUGGACAAGUGGCCUGGGUUCAACCUCACACACCCAUCACCUUGAGCAUCUCAGUGUCAGGGAUGACACUAUAAAAUGGGGAUAACAGUAAUACCUUACAUGAGGUUAUUUUGAGUCAAUGCGUACAGAAUACUUAGUAUGAUGAUCAUUUAAAUGGUACUGACUGUAAUAUAAGACUAUAUUUUAGGAGUAAACUGUUCACUCUCUGACUUCAAGACCAAAAGGCAGGAGUUAGAAUAUAAAAGAUGUUCUGUCUUCUGGCUAGAAGGUACAGAAGCUACAUGAAUAAGGUCAGGAAAACUCAUAAUUCAGUGCUCCACUCUUCAGCACACAAGACAGACACUUGUCUGCUUCCUUCCUCCUUUGCUAUAGCAGCUAGAGUCAAUCACUAAUGUGACAACUUAAAACUCAAAGCCUUAUUCUAGAACAAAGGGGUUCUCAGAGAAGUGCAGAGCAAUAAAGAGACAAGGGCCAGCAUAUCUAACAAUGAAGCCAAACAGCCUCAGCACUGAAUCUUGCUCUUCUCUCUGCACCCUGUGGUCAGUUUUCAGUUCAAGUGCAACAGUGAUCACUUUAAAGAGGUGAGAUCACAUCACGCCUUUGUUCAAAACCAUCCAGGAGGGCUUCCCUGGUGGCGCAGUGGUUGGGAGUCCGCCUGCUGAUGCAGGGGACGCGGGUUCGUACCCCAGUCCGGGAGGAUCCCACAUGCUGCGGAGUGGCUGGGCCCGUGGGCCAUGGCCGCUGAGCCUGCGCGUCUGGAGCCUGUGCUCUGCGACGGGAGAGGCCACAGUGGUUAGAGGCCCGCGUACCGCAAAAAAAAAACACAAAAAAAAUCCAAGAGCUCCCAUCUCACUCAUGAUGAAAGGAGAGGUCCACACCAUUAACCACAUGGCUCUGCAACCCUUGCUCCACUCCCUCUGCUAGAGCUACACUGGACUCCUUCCUUCUGCCUGGGAAGCUCUUUUGUUGGCUAUCUGUGUUGGCCUCCCUCACCUACUUCAGGUCUCUGCUCAGAGGUUUCCUUUUCAGUGAGGUUGCUGACCAUCCUAUGGUCAUCUUCUAAAACAGAAUACUACCAUGGCCUAUUCCAUACCCACCUCUAUGAAUGUUAUUUAUAACAUUUCUUGCUAUCAGAUUUACUGUGGUUUUUGCUCUUCUGUCUCCCUUCAUCUAGAAUAUAGGUUCCAUAAGUAGGCGCUCAAUAAUUAUUUGCUGAAUAUAUAAAAUUAUUACUCCAAUAGUCCCCCCCACCCCCCAGAAUUCAGGACAUGUAAACUGAAAUGAAUUGCCUCUGUCUUAUCUUCACUUUUCAUAAAUGAUUUUAAAACUUGGGGCAAACUAGCGGUGGACUUCUCUCCUACUCCCUAGCCAAGAUAAGAGAACUUUUAAAAGGCCCUUGGCAAAACCAAGCUAAUUCAGUCAGCUCAGCAAAGGGGCGCUACCUACCUAUCAUACUACUGCAGUGACCAGCAAUCUCUCUAGGUAUGUUUGUAUUUCAGAGAGGAAGAUCAAUCUCUCUUUGCCUCUUUACUUUCUACCUCUGCCUUCCUCCCUAGGACCUGCCCUCUGGGGGAGAGGAUAGCAAGAAACAAGUUAUAGUAAACAAACAGAGGUCAAAAGCUGAAGACUUCCUUCAAGACCAGCAGACACAGUCUUAAAAGCAAAAUGUGAGACUGAAGAAGAGUAAAUUUUUUGCUCUGAAGGGACUUCUCUGGUGGUGCAGUGGUUAAGAAUCCACCUGCCAAUGCAGGGGGACACGGGUUCAAUCCCUGGUCUGGGAAGAUCCCACAUGCCGUGGAGCAGCUGAGCCCAUGUGCUGCAACUACUGAGCCUGAGCGCUACAGCCCGUGAGCCACAACUACUGAAGCCCGUGUGCCUAGAGCCCAUGCUGCAAUGAGAGAAGCCACUGCAACGGGAAGCCUGCACACCGCAACGAAGAGUAGUGCCCGCUCGACACAACUAGAGAAAGCCUGUGCACAGCAACGAAGACCCAAUGCAACCAAAUAAAUAAACAAACAAACAAAAAACUUUGUAGCUUAUAAGUACUUAAUUACAAAUAACAUUCUACAUAGGAAAAAAAGUGAAUGAACAAGAAGGGAAAUCAACUGUAAACAACAUUCUACUAGGUAUACAAGGCAAGAGAGGGAAAAACCAGAACAAGUAACUUUUCCUAAUACAUUCUCAUUCAACCAUUUCCUUACUUUGUCUCAUCAUUCUGCUCCAGUGUGGAAAUGUUGAAACAAGACUGUAUUUGAGUUGAUGGGUAAGAAAAGACACCAUCCUGGGUGUUAGGCAAGGUCUGAGCUGACAAGAAAGGCCUAUGGCUCUCCCUUUACUGCUCAAAAAAAUGUCUGAAUGGCUGAAUGAAAGCAUCACAUAGGUAGGAGGGUACUCCCUUCACACCUGGGAACCUACUCACUUUCCAGUGGUAGGAGGGCAAACUGAUGUCUGGGCUCUGGACAUAGUCCCGCUUCCACAUUGUCCAGCACUGCAGUCAGCCCUGUCACUUCCUACUGUCACAGUGGAUUUUUAACACCCUUUGCUCAGGAGCCCUUUGGGGCCCAAGGAGUUCUCCCUCCAAUGUCUAGGAUAGUCUUCUAUUCCUAACACUUUCAGAGCCCAUAUUUCAGAGUUUCUAAAUAUUAUUCCUACCUUAAAGUUGAUGGCUAAUUAUCUCUUCCACCUUGAACCUCUGCCCCAGGAUGUGUCACUCACAACUUCCACAUGUCCCAUUGCACCUCUGUCAUGCACACAUACCAUCAGCUUGGUAUAGGAAUCUGUGACAUACUGAUGCCCAAUCCUCACAGCUGGUCUGAUCUCAGGAUGGUACAGCGCAUUCAUUCUCUUCCAAAUCCUACUCCUCUGGCUCCUCCACACCUCAUGGGUAUUCAGUCAGACACAACAGCCAACUCUGAUUGUCUCCUGAUAAAUGAUUUCAGGGUGUCAGGACUGUCUCAUGUCAGAAUGGGCCUUUCUAUUUUUGGUAGGCCUAUUUCUUAGACCAUGAUCACCUAGAAUUUUGGAUGGUUCCCUAGGCUCUGUUAGUGCAUACUUUUAUGGGAACAUUUUCAAGAGGCGCCCUCUCCCACCCUGAGGCCACCGACUUGCUCUAAGGUAGGUAGCUAGACUGUGAUACCCUCUUCCAGAUCAAGUACCUUUCUUUCAGGGUUUCUCUCCCUGGGUGAAGGGCUCCCCUAUUUUGCCAACGUCAGGCAUGUUCAAGGUUGGCAGAGCAAGAAAGAUAUUCAUAGACCAUUCCUCAAGGUUUAUAAGUCAAAGUUCCUAAAUUUCCUUUUAAAAAAAAAUUUAUUUAUUUAUUUGGCUGCACCAGGUCUCAAGGUUUAUAAGUCCCUAAAUUUCUUCUUAUUUCUUAAAAAGUUAUUUAUUUAGGGGCUUCCCUGGUGGCACAGUGGUUGAGAGUCCGCCUGCCGAUGCAGGGGACACGGGUUCGUGCCCCAGUCCGGAAGGAUCCCACAUGCCGCGGAGCGGCUGGGCCCGUAAGCCAUGGCCGCUGGGCCUGCGCGUCUGGAGCCUGUGCUCCGCAACGGGAGAGGCCGCAGCAGAGGCCCGCGUACCGCAAAAAACAAACAAACAAACAAAAAGUUAUUUAUUCGUUUGUUUAUUUGGCUGUGCUGGGUCUUAGUCGUGGCACACGGAAUCUUCAUUGCCAUGUGAAAGAUCUUCGUUGGGGCAUGUAGGAUCUUUUAGUUGUGGCAUGCGGGAUCUAGUUCCCUGACUAGGGAUCGAACCUGGGCCCCUUGCACUGGGAGCGUGGAGUCUUAACCACUGGACCACCAAGGAAGUCCCAAAGUCCCUAAAUUUCUUAAAGGUAAGAUCCUGGUCAUUCCAAGACACCAAGGCACAGAGGAUGUUUCAAAGACGACAGAAAAGAGUCAUUGCUAACCCCAAAACAUAUAUACUGCCACAGGUGGAAAAGACUCUCCCAAAUGAUGGUCACAGACACAUAGCAACCAAAAGCUGUCAUUGUCUGAAUGACAAGAUAAAACCAGCAAUAUAUAUUCAAGUAGGCUUCUGAGAAAUAUGCUAUGAAAAUACCAACCUAAUCCUGUUUUCCUCAAGCCAUUGGGUCUUUCUGUGUAUGCAUGGCAAUCUAAAUUAGAUGAGAGGGCUGUUAUGUGACAGCAGGCCCAAAGAUCUCAGCACAUUUUCACCCAGCUUGUCACAAUUGGGCCCUGUCUCUACACAAAACCGAUCUUCCUAUCAGGCCCACAGAAACCCUGUAUUCAAGCAUCAUGCAGAGAACUGACUGAAAGUUGAAUUGACAACACAGUACUGAUGGGCCACCUGCCGGGUAGGACCCAGACAAAGUUCUGUUACGCUGGAAUUCAUGUGUUUUUUUCAUCCAUUCUUGACAAGAAGGGUGCCUUGGGGUUCCUAAUGGCAUGAGAGCAAUCAUUGUGGCCCACACGGCAACUGGAUAAACUAUAAAAGACGGUUCUGAGUAGGCUCUUGUUCAGCCCAACUUGUCAAGUGCUUUGGUGCUUCCAAAUGCCUUCAGUCACUUCAUAGACCCCCGAUGUCAACCGUAAAAUAGCUUAAACCACUUUACAAAUGAAAGUGGCUCAAAGAUUAGGCAGCUUACUCACGGUCAUAGAAGUAUCAAGAUACCCUAUGAGGGACCCUAGAAUUCUAAGCAGUUGGCCUAAUGUGCUUUCCAUACACAGUCCCACAAAAUGAGGCUAGGUAAUACUGGGACAGAAAGGGAUAACAGGUAAAGCAAGAAUAUGAGAAGGAAGAAAGGAGACAGAAUUGUGGGAGCCAAUAAAUUAGGUGCUAGCAGCAUGAGACUGAAUGCCUUAAGAGGACUGAGUGUGUUGGAGAAGAGCCCCUUGUUCUAGUUUUCUUUUCAGCUAACCCAUUUGCAAUGAGAAUUUCAUUCCUCAUCAAAAGAUGUAUAGGAAUCUGGAUAAAAUAUUAUUUUGACAACAAAAGGGAGCAGAAGAGGAAAAAAAAAGUCUAAUUCCAGAAGAGCUUUGCUCCAGUCUUGCUGGUGGGCUUUCAGGGCAGACAGGAGGAAACACUGUCCUCACCACCAGUGACAGGUAAUUGAAGCAAAUGUAGCAGCCUGUUUAUGUUAAAGUAAAAAAACAUUAAAAAAAUUAAAUGUGACGAUGUUUAAAUGUCACACUGCUGAUGGUAUAGAUCGGUACAACCCUUUAGAAGCAUAAUCAAUAAGGACCCGUUGACCUAGUAAUCUCAAACUUCAGCACUUAAUGAAAUACUAUGACAGAAAAAAAAGUCCAUCCAUACAAAGAGGUUCAUUUUAGUAUGAUCCAUUUGGCAACAAACUAAAUUUCAAAUAUAAAUAAAGCUGGAAAGAACACAUAUUCUAAGGCUUCCCCAUGUGAAAUACAUAUGAAUGUGGACAAAGUCUAGAUGGUAACAGUUAAAAAUGAACAAAAUUGAGCUAAAAGACAGGAUGAGAACAGAUUUCUCAUUCUAACAUUUUUGUUAUAUUGUGUACUGAAGAGACAAAAAGGCCUAAUUCUCUCCAGGCUCUAUGAAUAGCCUAACAUGCAAAAUAGUACCAGUUGUUAUGAAAAGUAU